rnacentral:rRNA from 1 species
AGCGAACGCUAGCGGCGGGCCUAACACAUGCAAGUCGCGCGCUUCACUUCGGUGAGGAGCGGCGGACGGGUGAGUAAAACGCAGGUUACCUGCCCUCUGGUGGGGAAUAACCCAGGGAAACUUGGGCUAAUACCGCAUAUGGUCUACGGAUCAGAGCCUUCGGGCGCCAGAGGAUGGGCCUGCGGCCCAUUAUUUAAUCCUAGUUGGCGGGGUAACGGCCCACCAAGGGUACGAUGGGUAGCUGGUCUGAGAGGAUGAUCAGCCACACUGGGACUGGGACACGGCCCAGACUCCUACGGGUGGCAGCAGUGGGGAAUAUUGCGCAAUGGGCGAAAGCCUGACGCAGCCACGGCGCGUGUGUGAUGAAGGCCUUCGGGUCGUAAAGCACUGUCGGGAGGAAAGAAGAUCUGACGGUACCUCCCAAGAAAGCACCGGCUAACUCCGUGCCAGCAGCCGCCGUAAAAC